rnacentral:rRNA from 1 species
GCAGUCGAACGAUGAUCCCAGCUUGCUGGGGGAUUAGUGGCGAACGGGUGAGUAACACGUGAGUAACCUGCCCUUGACUCUGGGAUAAGCCUGGGAAACUGGGUCUAAUACCGGAUAUGACCAUUCCACGCAUGUGGUGGUGGUGGAAAGCUUUUGUGGUUUUGGAUGGACUCGCGGCCUAUCAGCUUGUUGGUGGGGUAAUGGCCUACCAAGGCGACGACGGGUAGCCGGCCUGAGAGGGUGACCGGCCACACUGGGACUGAGACACGGCCCAGACUCCUACGGGAGGCAGCAGUGGGGAAUAUUGCACAAUGGGCGCAAGCCUGAUGCAGCGACGCCGCGUGAGGGAUGACGGCCUUCGGGUUGUAAACCUCUUUCAGUAGGGAAGAAGCGAAAGUGACGGUACCUGCAGAAGAAGCGCCGGCUAACUACGUGCCAGCAGCCGCGGUAAUACGUAGGGCGCAAGCGUUAUCCGGAAUUAUUGGGCGUAAAGAGCUCGUAGGCGGUUUGUCGCGUCUGCUGUGAAAGACCGGGGCUCAACUCCGGUUCUGCAGUGGGUACGGGCAGACUAGAGUGCAGUAGGGGAGACUGGAAUUCCUGGUGUAGCGGUGAAAUGCGCAGAUAUCAGGAGGAACACCGAUGGCGAAGGCAGGUCUCUGGGCUGUAACUGACGCUGAGGAGCGAAAGCAUGGGGAGCGAACAGGAUUAGAUACCCUGGUAGUCCAUGCCGUAAACGUUGGGCACUAGGUGUGGGGGACAUUCCACGUUUUCCGCGCCGUAGCUAACGCAUUAAGUGCCCCGCCUGGGGAGUACGGCCGCAA